rnacentral:rRNA from 1 species
AGAGUUUGAUCAUGGCUCAGAACGAACGUUAGCGGCGCGCCUAACACAUGCAAGUCGCACGAGAAAGGGCUUCSGCCCCAGUAAAGUGGCGCACGGGUGAGUAACACGUGGGUAACCAACCCUCGAGCGGGGGACAACGUUCCGAAAGGAACGCUAAUACCGCGUAAGACCACGACCCUAUAAUGGGGUUGGGGUAAAAGCAGGCCUCUUCAUGAAAGCUUGCACUCGAGGACGGGCCCGCGCCCCAUCAGCUAGUUGGUAGGGUAAUGGCCUACCAAGGCUUAGACGGGUAACUGGUCUGAGAGGAUGAUCAGUCACACUGGAACUGAGACACGGUCCAGACUCCUACGGGAGGCAGCAGUGGGGAAUCUUGCGCAAUGGGCGAAAGCCUGACGCAGCGACGCCSCGUGAGUGAUGAAGGCCUUCGGGUUGUAAAGCUCUGUGGGGAGGAAAGAAUAAGUGCAGGCUAAUCACUGCAUGAUGACGGUACCUCCUUAGCAAGCACCGGCUAACUCUGUGCCAGCAGCCGCGGUAAUACA